rnacentral:rRNA from 1 species
UACGAAGGGGGCUAGCGUUGUUCGGAAUCACUGGGCGUAAAGGGCGCGUAGGCGGCUUUGUAAGUCGGGGGUGAAAGCCUGUGGCUCAACCACAGAAUUGCCUUUAAGACUGCAUCGCUAGAAUUGUGGAGAGGUAAGUGGAAUUCCGAGUGUAGAGGUGAAAUUCGUAGAUAUUCGGAAGAACACCAGUGGCGAAGGCGACUUACUGGACACAUAUUGACGCUGAGGUGCGAAAGCGUGGGGAGCAAACAGG